rnacentral:rRNA from 1 species
UACGUAGGGUGCGAGCGUUGUCCGGAAUUAUUGGGCGUAAAGAGCUCGUAGGCGGUUUGUCACGUCUGCUGUGAAAACUCGGGGCUUAACCCCGAGCUUGCAGUGGAUACGGGCAGACUAGAGGUAGGUAGGGGAGAAUGGAAUUCCCGGUGUAGCGGUGAAAUGCGCAGAUAUCAGGAGGAACACCGGUGGCGAAGGCGGGUCUCUGGGCCGAUACUGACGCUGAGGAGCGAAAGCGUGGGGAGCGAACAGG